GUUCCUCUGGGAUGAACCGGUCCCUAAUACUUUAAUCACCAUCUCGUCACUUUGUCAGCUAUUAAAAUUUUAUUCUUAGCUGAUCAUUAAGGAUGGGACAUUU
rnacentral:snoRNA from 1 species